CCCAUUAUAGCCUGUGCAUGGCCCAGCGUAGGUGCUGCUGGCACUUUAUAAGGUGCGUGAACUUCUAAGAGGAUCUGUGCCUGAUCCAGCCUCUCUCAUGCUGGGGUGACAGGCAUGCACCACCAUAGCAAGCUCCUCAUAGCCUUUGCUUAUAGCUGGGAAGAAAGUGCUAGGGAUGUUCUGUGCUGCCAACAAUGACUUCAAGAGCCUCUGCCUCAUGUAAUGGUCUUUCGCAGAGGACUCCCCUUUAUCUUCGAUGCUGUCUCCUGCCUCACUGUAUGGUAAUAUCUCACCAUGCUAU